AUGGCUCAGCCCUUGCUCACCCUGAGCCUUGGGCCCAGCAACACCUGCUCCUGGUGGGAAAACAGGUGCGGCCCGAAAUCUGUUAGACCAAUGAGGCCUCAUCCCACUAUUGGAGGCUUCUUAUUGAGCAUCAGCCAGAGCUCUGUAGCGCUGGAGGGACCUAGGAAACCAUCAGGUCCCGCCCCUCUUAGAGCUACAGAGAUGCAGGCCGGGAGGAGCAUAGGCACACUCAGUCUCAGCCGGCCUGCUGCCGACACAGGCCAGCGGGCGCCAGCCCCACUAACGCUGCUGAGCCAGCCCUGCAGCUACAGCUGCCCGACGUGGCCCCGGGGCCUGGCUAAGGCAAGGCGCUGGAGGGUGGAAACGGCAGCCCAAGGGUAUUGUAUUUUUGAGAGGCAGAGACAGAAAGUUCCCAUCUUCCGAUCCACCCCCACCCCGUCUACCCUCAAAAGCCUGCCGUGGCUAGGGCUGGGUCAAGCCAAAGUUGGGAGCCAGGAAAUCAGUGGAGGAGGUCUUCCACAGGUGGUCAUUCUUUGCUGCCUGCCUGCCAGCAGGAAGCUGGACUCAGAAAUGAGCCGGGACUUGGCACCGCGGCUCACUAGGCUAAUCUUCCGCCUUGCGGCGCCGGCACACCGGGUUCUAGUCCCGGUCGGGGCGCUGGAUUCUGUCCCGGUUGCCCCUCUUCCAGGCCAGCUCUCUGUUGUGGCCAGGGAGUGCAGUGGAGGAUGGCCCAAGUGCUUGGGCCCUGCACCCACAUGGGGGACCAGGAGAAGCACCUGGUUCCCGGUUUCGGCUCAGCGUGAUGCACUGGCCGCAGCAUGCUGGCCGCGGCGGCCAUUGGAGGGUGGACCAGCGGCAAAAGGAAGACCUUUCUCUCUAUCUCUCUCUCUCACUGUCCACUCUGCCUGUCAAAAAAAAAAAAAAAAAAAAGAAGUGAGCCGGGACUCAGACGUGGGACGCAGGCGUCCCAAACUUUGCCUUAACGGCUGCCCCCAGACGCCCAUGCCCUGA
rnacentral:lncRNA from 1 species